CGGUAGGUAGGGUUGGGGGGAUAGCCGUCCCCCAUGCCGAAACCGGCUAUACGCGGCGCCAGUAACCCUAAGCUAAAAUGUGGCAGGUGGUGAGCCUCCCAUUUCUGCUGGUAUGAACUCACGCCGCAGUGGGCGGUUGCAAGAGAUAGCCCUUUCGAAGGGAAGGGUGACUCUUCAACUACUGAAAUCGGACAGGUCCGGGAGGGAGCAUCCGUAGAGUAGGGCAGCUGCGCUAUUGCGUCUACGUGAAGGAUUCAGAUGGUAUGGAGAAGGAGCUGACUGCUGCAUGAACCCUAAGGGGGCUGCCG
rnacentral:SRP_RNA from 1 species